GGUUUCUCUAAACUAGUUUGUUAUCUUUUCACGAUUUCCGCAUAUAUUUGGUCACUUGUCGUUGGCUCUCGCAGAGAUCCGGGACCUCUGGGAAAUUAUUGUUUUCUUAGUUUCCUAAUUUAAACGUAAAUUGACAGUGCGAAUUUCAGUUCCCACAUAACAUUGAUCGACAGUCAUUACGUGUUCACAAGCGAGAGCUGCAACACUGGACUUAGAUAAUUUAUCAGACUCGCAGAGACAGCUGGAUAGUACAAAACAUGAACCAAUUCCUUCAAACCCGAGACCUUAAGUUUACCCUACUCUGCUAUACACACUAGGCCACGUUGAUUUUCUUAGUAUCAUUCACAUAAGCUACAUAUUAUACAUGUAUGUGUUUUAAAAAUUAAAAAUAGAUCCAAAAUAAAUCCAUCAAUAAUCUAUGAUUAAUCCAUGAUUCUUUCAUUAGGCGUUAGGCCCUGUCCGAAUGUACGUAUAGCGCCUAGCAAGUUUCCGAACAAUGAUUGUACGGUAUACUUAUUAUUAUUUUGUUUUCAUAUUCCUAAUGAAUAAUUUAAAUAAAAUAUUGUUUUAAUAAAAAUAUUUAUUUUCUUUUGGAAUAUUGUAAGGGAUUAUGUAUCUUAUGAAGGCACACAAUGGUCAAUCUUUUUCCAGUGUCAUUUAGAUUAUGGUUUUUUUUUUUAAAUUCAAACCAUGCAGUUGUAGUGGUGGUUUAGCUUAGGUUUGGUUAUGUAAAUUCUUUUUUUUUUUUGGUAAAAUGUUAAAAUAUUCUAGCUAAGUUUUUGUUGAUGGUUUUUUCACUAAAUAAGAUUAUUAGUUUAAAAUAAUUGAUUAAUGCUGCCAGAUACGUUACUUUUAUAAAAAAGGUUAUUAUUUUAUUUAACUUAUUACUUUGAAAUAGGAAAAACUAAAAUAAGUAAACCAUACAAUGAAUGCAUAACCAAUUUAGCAGUAUAUCCAUAAAAUUCAAUGAAUAUCUCAGUAAUAAAGGACAAAUUGAGAAAAUAGACCACAAAAUAUAAUUUAUUUAAGAUAUUAUGAAAUAUUCUUAAGACCUUUAAUUACAUUUGUUAAUAUAUAGAUGACUUACACUAUUUUAAAGAUUUAUAUUAAUUAAUUUAUUUAUUUUUCUUAAAAGAAUAAUCUUUUAUGAUUUAUAUUUUAGAUACUAGAGUAAUAAGGUUGCUCUUACAUAAUUUUAUAUAUAUAAUCUCAACUGUACAUCCUUAGGAAAUACAACCAUCAAUUAGCAAACAAACACACCGUUAAGUAGAAGAGUAUUAGGAUAAUGUCAUCAUCACAUCUUGCUAUCAUGUGCCUCAUCAUGAUAUCUCUUGUUCCUCUAAAUCAAUUGGGAAACGCCGAUGGUUUAGACUUCGACAGAAAAUGUGUCCGUCUCCUUGGAUGUACCGGAAGACGUUGUAUUUGCUGUAACAACGCACCAUAAAUAUUAAAAUGUUAUGAUACUCAAGCAGCAUGUAUGGCACAUUGCACGAACCCAACUAUUUGAGUGGCUUACGAAACUUAAAAAAAAUUAAAAUAUAAUCAUGUGGAAUAUCUCAAUAAAUAUAAUAUAUAUUAUAAAAUAAAGAUGUUAAUAAACUUUUACUUUAGGUAUCAAAAUAUAUUUAUAUAUAUCUAGCAUCUAAUUUAUAAUAUAUGUAUGAUUAAGAAUAAUACAAAUUUGUGUAGCAGAAAAAAUAGAAUAAUUUUAUCGUUGUGUUCAAUACUGUUGACAUGAUUCGACAUUCACAUUUUCUCUUUUUAUCUUUGUAGUUUGUAUUCUUGAUCAGCUCUCUUUUUUUCUCUACUUGUAGUUUGUAUUUGAUAUGUUCUAUUUUUAUAGAUAAUUUAUCUUUCUUUCUUUUGCUAUAUCAAAGAGAAAAUAUCAUACCAUAACAGAUCAGUGGGAUAAUCAUGGUUUUAAGCUUCUCAAUCAGAAAAACAAAAUUAGCUUUUUAUUUCUCUUUAAAGCUUUUCCUACUACAUACUACCAUAUUCCUCUUUGCUUUUCCUCAUACUUCCACACAUACACGUAGAAUAUCGAAUGACACAAACCUCUUGUCGUCGAUUGAUAAAGACGCGAUAAGAUGGGCCGACUUGUUCAUGGCCGACUUAAGCCCAGAAGAUCCACAUAAUUACAAGACUACCCUUGGCCGCCUCUCACCUAGUUUUUAUGUACUUUGCCGUUGUAUUAGGAAACAUAACUUCUUUUAUCAUCUUUUAUUCACAACAUAUAGUUAUAGGAUUUUCUGUAGAUUUAGAUAUAAGAUCCAAUACUCCUUCAGAGCUUGUAUUAGAACUCCAUUGAUUUCUUACUCUAUUCUAUUUAUGAAUUCUAUUCAGACUAUUGCUAUGUUUUGCUUUAUCAUGUCGGAGUAGUUUCCCUUGUUAGAUUUAGGGUAAAAUAGUGCUUUGAUGGAUUAGCCAAAAUUAUUGAAUUGUUAGGGUGAUUACAUAGAUACCAAUCAUUAGAAUUGGUAUUAAUGCUUAUGUUAUGGAGUAGCUAAUUAGAACCACAUGAAUUUAUUCUCUUGAUUUAGGUUGCUAGAUACAUGUGAAAGCUCGUCUAGGAACGUUAGUGAACUUAUCAAAUCGGACUAUAAAACCAAUCUAAAGUAUUGUCGAUAGACACUAGAAAGGUAGCAUUGAUUGACAGUCAUUACGUGUGCACAAGCAAGAGCUGCAACACUGGACUAAGAUAAUUUAUCCGACUCGCAGCGACAGAUGGAUAUAUUUACAGUAGAGCUCAAGUUCUAGUCCCAGUUUCGUCAUACUGCACUUAUUAAACCUAAAAUUAAAAAAAUAGUACAAAACAUGCACCAAUUCCUUCAAAACCGAGACCUUAAUUUUACCUACUCGGCUAUACACACUCGGCCAUGCUGAUUUUCUUAAUAUCAUUCACAUAAGCUACAUAUUAUACAUGUAUGUGUUUUAAAAAUUAAAAAUUGAUCCAAAAUAAAUCCAUCAGUAAUCUAUGAUUAAUCCCUGAUUCUUUCAUUAGGCGCUAGACCCUGCCCGAAUGUACGUAUAGCGCCUAGCGAGUUUCCGAAAAAUAAUUGUACGGUAUACUUAUUAUUAUUUUGUUUUCAUAUUCCUAAUGAAUAAUUUAAAUAAAAUAUUCGUUUAAUAAAAAUAUUUAUUUUCUUUUGGAAUAUUGUAAGGGAUUAUGUAUCUCAUGAAGGCACACAAUGGUCAAUCUUUUUCCAGUGUCAUUUAGAUUAUGUUUUUUUUUUUUAAAUUCAAACCAUGCAGUUUUAGUGGUGGUUUAGCUUAGGUUUAUUUAGGUAAAUUCUGUUUUUUUGGUAAAAUGUUCAAAUUUUCUAGCUAAGUUUUUGUUGAUGGUUUUUUCACGAAAUAAGAUUAUUAGUUUAAAAUAAUUGAUUAAUGAUUACAGAUAUUUUACUUUUAUAAAAAAAAUAUUAUUUUAUUAAACUUAUUACUUUGAAAUAGGAAAAACUAAAAUAAGUAAACCAUACAAUGAAUGCAUAACCAAUUUAGCAGUAUAUCCAUAAAAUUCAAUGAAUAUCUCAGUAAUAAAGGACAAAUUGAGAAAAUAGACCACAAAAUAUAAUUUAUUUAAGAUAUUAUGAAAUCUUCUUAAGACCUUUAAUUACAUUUGUUAAUAUAUAGAUAACUUACUCUAUUUUAAAGAUUUAUAUUAAUUAAUUUAUUUACUUUUCUUAAAAGAAUAAUCUUUUAUGAUUUAUAUUUUAGAUACUAGAGUAAUAAGGUUGCUCUUACAUAAUUUUAUAUAUAUAAUCUCAACUGUACAUCCUUAGGAAUUACAACCAUCAAUUAGAAAACAAACACACCGUUAAUUAGAAGAGUAUUAGGAUAAUGUCAUCAUCACAUCUUGCUAUCAUGUGCCUCAUCAUGAUUUCUCUUGUUCCUCUAAAUCAAUUGGGAAAUGCCGAUGGUUUAGACUUCGACAGAAAAUGUGUCCGUCUCCUUGGAUGUACCGGAAGACGUUGUAUUUGCUGUAACAACGCACCAGAAAUAUUAAAAUGUUAUGAUACUCAAGCAGCAUGUAUGGCACAUUGCACGAACCCAACUAUUUGAGUGGCUUUAGAAACUUUAAAAAAAUUAAAAUAUAAUCAUGUGGAAUAUCUCAAUAAAUAUAAUAUAUAUUAUAAAAUAAAGAUGUUAAUAAACUUUUACUUUGGGUAUCAAAAUAUAUUUAUAUAUCUCGCAUCUAAUUUAUAAUAUACUUAUGAUUAAGAAUAAUACAUAUUUGUGUAGCAGAAAAAAUAGAAUGAUUUUGUCGUUGUGUUCAAUACUGUUGACAUGCUUCGACAUUCAGAUUUUCUCUUUUUAUCUUUAUAGUUUGUAUUCUUGACCUGCUCUCUUUUUUCUCUACUUGUAGUUUGUAUUUGAUAUGUUCUAUAUUUAUAGAUAAUUUAUCUUUCUUUCUUUUGCUAUAUCAAAGAGAAAAUAUCAUGCCAUAACAGAUCAAUGGGAUAAUCAUGGUUUUAAGCUUCUCAAUCAAAAAAAAAAUUAGCUUUUUAUUUCUCUCUAAAGAUUUUCUUACUACAUACUACCAUAUUUCUCGUUACUUUUCCUUAUACUUCCACACAUACACGUAGAAUAUCGAAUGACACAAACCUCUUGUCGUCGAUUGAUAAAGACGCGAUAAGAUGGGCCGACUUGUUCAUGGCCGACUUAAGCCCAGAAGAUACACAUAAUUACAAGACUACCCUAGGCCUUCUUUCACCUAGUAUUUAUGUACUUUGCCGUUGUAUUAGGAAACAUACCAUCUUUUAUCAUCUUUUAUUCACAACAUAUAGUUAUAGGGUUUUCACUAGAUUUGGAUAAAAGAUCCAAUACUCAUUCAGAGCUUGUAUUGGAACUCCAUUGAUUUCUUACUCUAUUCUAUUUAUGAAUUCUAUUCAGACUAUUGCUAUGUUUUGCUUUAUCAUGUCGGAGUAGUUUCCCUUGUUAGAUUUAGGGUAAAAUAGUGCUUUGAUGGAUUAGCCAAAAUUAUAGAAUUGUUAGGGUGAUUACAUAGAUACCAAUCAUUAGAAUUGGUAUUAAUGCUUAUGUUAUGGAGUAGCUAAUUAGAACCACAUGAAUUUAUUCUCUUGAUUUAGGUUGCUAGAUACAUGUGAAAGCUCGUCUAGGAACGUUUGUGAACUUAUCAAAUCGGACUAUAAAACCAAUCUAAAGUAUUGUCGAUCGACACUAGAAAGGUAGCAUUGAUUGACAGUCAUUACGUGUUUACAAGCAAGAGCUGCAACACUGGACUAAGAUAAUUUAUCAGACUCGCAGCGACAGCUGGAUAUAUUGACAGUAGAGUUCAAGUUCUAGUCCAAGUUUCGUCAUACUGCACUUACUAAACCUAAAAUUAAAAAAAAUAGUA